rfam:Cicer arietinum chromosome Ca8, whole genome shotgun sequence.
AUGGCAUGGUGAUGAUAAAUGUGAAUGUUUACAUAUGAUGAUUCAUAUGAUUAAGAAAAUCCUCCUACUCAUACUGA